rnacentral:misc_RNA from 1 species
GCAAACUUGGUCAUUUAGAGGAAGUAAAAGUCGUAACAAGGUUUCCGUAGGUGAACCUGCGGAAGGAUCAUUAAUGAAGUCUGCGUUGUGCCGAGGGGUUGUGCUGGUGCGCCUGCACAUGUGCACGCCCCUUGCGUGUGAUGCCUUACACACCUCAACACCUGUGCACUAUGCCCGUCGGAGGGGAGCUCGCCUGCUGCUGCAGGAGGGGAUUCCCUCUGGCGUUUCAUUUCAACCACCCCAGAUUGUCUUGUUGAAUGUCUUUGCUUUAAACGCAACCGAAAUACAACUUUUAACAACGGAUCUCUUGGUUCUCGCAUCGAUGAAGAACGCAGC